GACGAACGCUGGCGGCGUGCUUAACACAUGCAAGUCGAACGGAAAGGCCCUGCUUUUGUGGGGUGCUCGAGUGGCGAACGGGUGAGUAACACGUGAGUAACCUGCCCUUGACUUUGGGAUAACUUCAGGAAACUGGGGCUAAUACCGGAUAGGAGCUCCUGCUGCAUGGUGGGGGUUGGAAAGUUUCGGCGGUUGGGGAUGGACUGGCGGCUUAUCAGCUUGUUGGUGGGGUGGUGGCUUACCAAGGCUUUGACGGGUAGCCGGCCUGAGAGGGUGACCGGCCACAUUGGGACUGAGAUACGGCCCAGACUCCUACGGGAGGCAGCAGUGGGGAAUAUUGCACAAUGGGCGGAAGCCUGAUGCAGCAACGCCGCGUGCGGGAUGACGGCCUUCGGGUUGUAAACCGCUUUCGCCUGUGACGAAGCGUGAGUGACGGUAAUGGGUAAAGAAGCACCGGCUAACUACGUG
rnacentral:rRNA from 1 species